AACGUAGGACACAAGCGUUAUCCGGAGUUACUGGGCGUAAAGGGCGUGUAGGCGGAGGUGUAAGUCUAUUCUGAAAGCUCCUGGCUAAACUGGGAGAGGCGAAUGGAGACUGCAUAUCUAGAGUGAGGAAGAGGAAAAGUGGAAAUUUCCGCGUGUAGUGGUGAAAAUGCGUAGAGAUGCGGAGGAACACCAGUGGCGAAAAGCGACUUUCUGGUCCUUAACUGACGCUGAGGCGCGAAAAGCAUGGGGAGCGAACGGGG
rnacentral:rRNA from 1 species